rnacentral:rRNA from 1 species
UACGUAGGGGGCAAGCGUUGUCCGGAAUCAUUGGGCGUAAAGAGCGUGUAGGCGGCUCGGUAAGUCCGCUGUGAAAGUCCAGGGCUCAACCCUCGGAUGCCGGUGGAUACUGUCGGGCUUGAGUACGGAAGAGGCGAGUGGAAUUCCUGGUGUAGCGGUGAAAUGCGCAGAUAUCAGGAGGAACACCAAUUGCGAAGGCAGCUCGCUGGGACGUUACUGACGCUGAGACGCGAAAGCGUGGGGAGCAAACAGG